rnacentral:misc_RNA from 1 species
GAUGGCAAAGGACACGUCAUUCGCUUUCACCUGGAAGAAGCCGUCGAUUCUUUCCGCGUGUACCAGCCCUCAACCGACUUAAUACAAUUGACUCUUUUCGGGGAUCGCGUCGAUACAACAGAUGUAAUUCUACCAUCAGAGCCCUCUUAUUUUGAUGAAAUGAGUUUUUACGAGAUCCCCUCCGGUAUCGGAGUAGAUAUAUACAUAUCAGAAAACAAUUUCUUCAAUGCAGGA